rnacentral:rRNA from 1 species
UGAGGAAUCUUGCGCAAUGGGGGAAACCCUGACGCAGCAACGCCGCGUGAGUGAGGAAGGUCUUCGGGUCGUAAAGCUCUGUCAGGCGGGAAGAAAUGCAUGGAGGUGAACAGCCGCCAUGCUUGACGGUACCGCCAGAGGAAGCACCGGCUAACUCCGUGCCAGCAGCCGCGGUAAUACGGGGGGUGCAAGCGUUGUUCGGAAUCAUUGGGCGUAAAGAGCGUGUAGGCGGCUUGGUAAGUCAGAUGUGAAAGCCCUGGGCUCAACCCGGGAAGUGCAUUUGAAACUGCCAGGCUCGAGUAGGGGAGAGGGAAGUGGAAUUCCUGGUGUAGAGGUGAAAUUCGUAGAUAUCAGGAGGAACACCGGUGGCGAAGGCGACUUCCUGGCCCUAUACUGACGCUGAGACGCGAGAGCGUGGGUAGCAAACAGG